GUACACUCCUGCGGGAGGCAGCAGUGGGGAAUAUUGGACAAUGGGCGCAAGCCUGAUCCAGCCAUGCCGCGUGAGUGAUGAAGGCCCUAGGGUUGUAAAGCUCUUUCACCGGUGAAGAUAAUGACGGUAACCGGAGAAGAAGCCCCGGCUAACUUCGUGCCAGCAGCCGCGGUAAUACGAAGGGGGCUAGCGUUGUUCGGAUUUACUGGGCGUAAAGCGCACGUAGGCGGACUAUUAAGUCAGGGGUGAAAUCCCGGGGCUCAACCCCGGAACUGCCUUUGAUACUGGUAGUCUUGAGUUCGAGAGAGGUGAGUGGAAUUCCGAGUGUAGAGGUGAAAUUCGUAGAUAUUCGGAGGAACACCAGUGGCGAAGGCGGCUCACUGGCUCGAUACUGACGCUGAGGUGCGAAAGCGUGGGGAGCAAACAGGAUUAGAUACCCCUGUAGUCCCAUGA
rnacentral:rRNA from 1 species